rnacentral:rRNA from 1 species
GUCUACGGCCACACCACCCCGAACUCACCCGAUCUCAUCUGACCUCGGAAGCUAAGCAGAAUCAGGCUUGGUUAGUACUUGGAUGGAGACUAGAGGGCUCUGACAUCUUUAGAUA